CCUACGUGAGGCUGCAGUGGGGGAUAUUGCACAAUGGGGGGAACCCUGAUGCAGCGACGCCGCGUGGGUGAAGAAGCGCCUCGGCGCGUAAAGCCCUGUCAGCAGGGAAGAACAUGACGGUACCUGAAGAAGAAGCCCCGGCUAACUACGUGCCAGCAGCCGCGGUAAUACGUCGGGGGCAAGCGUUAUCCGGAUGGACUGGGUGUAACGGGGGCGCAGUCGGCGAUGCAAGCCAGGAGUGAAAGCCCGGGGCCCAACCCCGGGGCUGCUCUGGGAACUGCGUGGCUGGAGGGCAGGAGAGGCAGGCGGAAUUCCUGGUGUAGCGGUGAAAUGCGUAGAUAUAAGGAGGAAAACCGGUGGCGAAGGCGGCCUGCUGGACUGCAACUGACGUUGAGGCCCGAAAGCGUGGGGAGCAAACAGGAUUAGAUACCCCUGUAGUC
rnacentral:rRNA from 1 species